rnacentral:rRNA from 1 species
GUGUCAGCAGCCGCGGUAAUACGAAGGGGGCUAGCGUUGCUCGGAAUUACUGGGCGUAAAGGGCGCGUAGGCGGACAGUUUAGUCAGAGGUGAAAGCCCAGGGCUCAACCUUGGAAUUGCCUUUGAUACUGGCUGUCUUGAGUACGGGAGAGGUGUGUGGAACUCCGAGUGUAGAGGUGAAAUUCGUAGAUAUUCGGAAGAACACCAGUGGCGAAGGCGACACACUGGCCCGUUACUGACGCUGAGGCGCGAAAGCGUGGGGAGCAAACAGGAUUAGAUACCCUGGUAGUCCACGCCGUAAACGAUGAGUGCUAGUUGUCGGCAUGCAUGCAUGUCGGUGACGCAGCUAACGCAUUAAGCACUCCGCCUGGGGAGUACGGUCGCAAGAUUAAAACUCAAAGGAAUUGACGG